rnacentral:sRNA from 1 species
GAAUGCUGGUUAGUGCUUGUUGUUUUCCUGACUUGAGGCUGUGUAUUACAGUGCUCGGUCUUGAAACUAUACAUAAAGAUGGAUCAUAUAGUAAACUCAGGA